rnacentral:rRNA from 1 species
UCCGACUGUCUAAUUAAAACAAAGCAUUGUGAGGGCCGCUGGUCGGUGCUGACGCAAUGCGAUUUCUGCCCAGUGCUCUGAUUGUCACUGAAAAAAAUUCCAAAAAGCGCGGGUAAACUGUGGAAGUAACUAUGACUUUUUUGUAAGACAGCAAUGAGUGCGUUUUCAAGCAGGAAUGUUGCGAGA